GUCAGGAUAGCUCAGAUGUAGAGCAAAAGCGCC
rnacentral:tRNA from 1 species